rnacentral:lncRNA from 1 species
AUACUAGGGAAGGCAUCGAGCUUGAGGAAGAGGCCCCAUUCAUCUCCGUACCCCAGGCCCUGGUACACAGCAGGCAGCACCUUCUACCACCAUCCACCCUCCUCCGUGUUUUAUUUAUUUUGUUGAUUUCUCCUUCAUUGAAAUGUCAGCUCCAGGCGGGCACGCAUCUUUGUUGUGUUCUCUGCUGACUAUAUCCUCAGCACCUAGAACUGUGUCUGUCACCUAAUAGAUGCUCAAUAAACCUGCCAGUAAUUUCAGCAAAUGAAACGUGGAACACGUCAAGGCCAGAGGAUGGAAAAGGCUCCAGUUUUGAUAAAAGGAGGCCUGCUUGGCUUGGAAUCCUCUCUCCUGCUGGUUGGGAGAUGCAAAGAUGUUUCCAGAGAGGGGCUGAUGAAUUGAGGGGAAAGAAAUGAGCCCAGUAUGAGUCCCCUUUCAGGGCUGAGCGUGUAUAAAACCAAACAACUUGGAACCGCUCCAAGAGAGGGGAUUAAAGCAACAUGUUAUUCUGA